rnacentral:rRNA from 1 species
GACAGAGGGUGCAAACGUUGUUCGGAAUUACUGGGCGUAAAGCGCGUGUAGGCGGCAGCGUAAGUCGGGCGUGAAAUCCCACGGCUCAACCGUGGAAGUGCACUCGAAACUGCGCAGCUAGAGUCCUGGAGAGGAAGGUGGAAUGCUUGGUGUAGAGGUGAAAUUCGUAGAUAUCAAGCGGAACACCGGUGGCGAAGGCGGCCUUCUGGACAGUGACUGACGCUGAGACGCGAAAGCGUGGGGAGCAAACAGG